rnacentral:rRNA from 1 species
AUGUCAUCGUCGUCGUCGUCGAUUGCUUCCUCCCGUUCACGCGGCGGAAGGACUCGACGGAGAGUGGCUGCAGUUAGGUCACCGGUGCCCUAUCGGGAGCAGCCCAUGGACUACAAGCCGACGGUUUUUUGCGAGCGGUGCGGGCGGAAGGCGCCGCGGUGGAUAUCGUGGAGUCCGGCGAACCCUGGGCGGAGAUAUUACGCAUGCGUUGAAGCUCAGGUAAGCUUGAUUCGACAUUUUGCAUCUUCCUCUGCUUGGUGCUCUGUUCUUUGCUUUAUGUCUGACAGAAAUUAUGUUGUGAGGCAGGAAUGUACUGAAUUUAAAUCCUAG